AUUUGUCUUCCGGGUUACAGAACCUGAGGUGGAGUUUUUUUAACUUUUACUUUGUCUUUUGGACUGUCUUCUCUGUCUUUUUGUCGUUGCUGUUGACUUCUGGUGAUCAGGAGAAGCAGAAUGACAUCAUUCACAGUAUCGAACAGCUAAAUGACAAAGUUGAUGCACUGCAUCCUUGGACCGUCCCUGAAAGUGUCGGUUCCCAGACAUACCAGGAGGGAGAACAAUGUGGGCGCUGCUGAGACGAUUAUCUGAAGAAUGGCCAGCUCUAAACCAGAAGUGUGGGCUUGAACCAAUUCCAAGCAGUGCCUGGAAGUAACAGGCCUUCCAGUAAAGUCACUUGAAGAACUCGAGUGCUAAUGACAAACGUGAUGGUGAGGACAAGGGAACCAGGCACCAGAGGAAUGCCCUAAUCAAUACCUUAACUGCAUACACCCCUGGAAUGGAACAAGGGAAGAAUACGGUAACAAGCAUUGUCAGGGGCGGCUUGUAUGCUAUGGCUGUUUAUCUUUGGCAGUGCUUCAGCAGUCAGGGAAAGUCAGGAACUGUCAAAGGCAGCCUUGCCAGGGACGUGCCACAAAUUUACAGUCGUCAUGGCGGCUGCAAUA